rnacentral:rRNA from 1 species
GUAACGACUCUCGGCAACGGAUAUCUCGGCUCUCGCAUCGAUGAAGAACGUAGCGAAAUGCGAUACUUGGUGUGAAUUGCAGAAUCCCGUGAACCAUCGAGUCUUUGAACGCAAGUUGCGCCCGAUGCCAUCAGGUUGAGGGCACGUCUGCCUGGGCGUCACG